CUCGCGUUUCUCCUGAGACAAGCCCUUUCGAAAAUACCGCAGAUCCCUCACGCACUUUUGGUGGAUAAAUGGCGAUGGAAUGUUUUCAAUGGAAAUAUAAAACCAUCAGAUUAUAACGAGGCGUGGUGGGCAAUCGCUAAACGUUAUCAGGGAAUAAAACCUCCGACGCCUCGCCCCGACAAUUAUUUCGAUCCAGCAGCGAAGUAUCACGUUACAGACAAUACCCCAUACAUUAGGUAUUUUCUCGGCUACAUAUUGCAAGUGCAGCUUUUCAAAGGAAUGUGUGAGGCAGCUGUGACCGGAAAAGUUGGUGACCCAAACUUCGAAAUUCCGCUUCACAGAUGCGAUAUAUACGGCUCGAAAACUGCUGGAAAAAAAUUAAA
rnacentral:misc_RNA from 1 species